GACAGCAGCAGCCGCGGUAAUACGUAGGGUGCGAGCGUUAAUCGGAAUUACUGGGCGUAAAGCGUGCGCAGGCGGUUGUGUAAGACAGGUGUGAAAUCCCCGGGCUUAACCUGGGAACUGCGCUUGUGACUGCACAGCUAGAGUAUGGCAGAGGGGGGUGGAAUUCCACGUGUAGCAGUGAAAUGCGUAGAGAUGUGGAGGAACACCGAUGGCGAAGGCAGCCCCCUGGGCCAAUACUGACGCUCAUGCACGAAAGCGUGGGGAGCAAACAGGAUUAGAUACCCGGGUAGUCCCUGUCUCUUAUAC
rnacentral:rRNA from 1 species